GGGGAAAUAGCUCAGUUGGUUAGAGUGCUGGUCUGUCACGCCAGAAGUCGCGGGUUCGAACCCCCGUUUUCCCCG
rnacentral:tRNA from 1 species